CCGGCUUUGGGUCUUUGGAUUGAGUGUCCCCAAAGAGGCCGCUGAGCUUGGUGACGCUGCUCAUGGAGCCCCGGCGCGAGUGGGUGAGCUCCUUCUCCUUGCGCUGCACCACAGCCACGUCUUUGCGCCGAUGAUCACAGACGCAGUAGACGGUGAUGCCCGAGAAGACGGCCCCCAUGACGAAAGCCAGGAUGACUGCAAUGGCCAAGAGGGUGACGGGAACCAGCUGGUCGUGGCCUUUGAGGGUCCUCCUCCCUUCAAUUGUGACAUCACAGUUGGUUGCUGUGGAAAUGAUUGUCCUGUGACAAAGGAUUGUGACUUAAGUAGAAGCAGCAAAUAUCUCUUAAGAAAUAAAGAUUCUGUGAUCCAACAAAUACCCUUGGUAAUAAAAGGCAGUCAAGGCAAUUCACCAUAAGGAAAGAGUGUACAAGACGGUAAGAUAUCAAAUAAUUUUCAAAUGUGAUACUUUUCAAAUAUUUCCAGAUUUAUCUCCAUCAGCUUUUAAGGGGUAGAAACUGAGAAGCAAAAAACAGCCGGAAAUUUGGCUGUAACUCACACCUUUUAUGUGUGAAGCUCCCCAAACAGUGGGGUGUCCUGCAUUCAAAUAUAUUUUAGUACCUAUUCACCAAGGAAAUGUGCUAAUGAAAAUUUUCUUUCUUAAAUUUGCAUUUCCUUAUUAUGCUAAAAUAGCUACUGAUUUUUCUUCAAUUUUGAUUAUGUAUGGGGUUCUACCGAACACCGUUUUUAACCCCCUACAUAUAAUUGCACAAAAAUGUACACCUGUGGAUAAAAUGGUUUUAAUUUCUCUCAUUGACUUGGUGAUUUCAGUGGGAGUUGAACACAGGCUAGACGGCCCCAGUAAUGGGGUGGGGGUGUAUUAGGUGUUUUUUUCAUGGCAAUGAGUAUUUCAUGAAACCCUUCCAGGCUACCAAAUUUAGGGGGACUGGAUAUUCCCAAUAAAUGUGUAUUAUAAUAGGAAGCUAUUUACAAUUGACUUUGGCAUUCUACAAUUUAAACUGCCCUCUCAGUUUAAAAGGAACGUGGAAAGAGUAAAGCUAGAGCAAUUCAUUGGUUUCACUGGGAAAACUGCAAAUUUUUCACAUGUAUCCAUUGCUUCUUAGCCUUACUUUUAGCUCCCAAAUAUCAUUCUUCUUUCAUGUCUGAAGGUCCUUGGCUAUUUUAGACUCAUGAAAGCUACUUAUUCUUUCACUGGGAAGAACUCUUUUUUAGUGGAUGAUAUUUGAGUUCAGGUUUUUGGUUGUUAACAAGUUAAGUAGGAUCUGACCUUUCAGGAAAAUGGUAUCUCAGACAGAUUUUUUCCCCCGUCUCAUUUUGUUAUAUAAAGAGUGGCCUUAAAAACAUUUUUGCAUGUCUUCAUCUAUCCAUGGGGAGGCAGAGGGCUUUCCUCAUCUGCUUGUGUAAAUUCAGAAACGUCCAAAGAUGGAAACAGAUCAGAGAGUAAGUUGAAAGUGCAGUUGAAGAAGAUAAGGUAAACGUUAUUUUUGGAAAUGCCUUUCAAACUUAAAGCUUUCUGCUUAUAUCAUGAAAAAGGCCAAAGAAGCAUUCACAGAAAUGAUCAAGUCAACUUUGUGGAAUAGCCAUUGUGAAGGCUUGGAAACAGCAGACUUGUCAGUAGUGGUGAUAAAAGCAGCUAGAGAAGAUCUCAGUGGGCUUGGAAUUGCAGGCUCCCACUUACUGGCUGGGUGACCUUUUGGCAAGUGACUUAACAUCUCUGGGCCUCAGUUUUUUUAUCUGUAGCAUGAGGUGAACACACCUAAUCUUACUGCCUUACUGGAUUGUUACAAGAAUCAAAGGAAAUAAAAAAUAGGAAAGAGCUUAAAUGCUGUAGUUUGCUGGACAAAUCUAAAGCUCAAAAGAAGCCACAAAGGAGAAGUGGUGGGUUAGUGGCUCACAGAGGGCUUCCAAGUGAUAGUCGCAGCUGCUCCAUUGGAUUCCAUUUGCUAUUGGUCUCCCAUGGGAGAGGAGUAGACCUGUGCUUCCAGGUCCAAACUUCGUGCCUUCUAAAUGUAGUCAAAAAGGUGAUAUGAGAUUUCGAAGCAAUAUAAGGGAAUGCAUACUGUUUCAG
rnacentral:lncRNA from 1 species